rnacentral:lncRNA from 1 species
CCCUAAUAUCUAUCCAUGAUUCAUAUUUAGCAAUUCUCAUCUAUCUCCAUUUCUUUCACUAUACCAGGCAAUGAUGAUCAGAAUCAUUGCAAUACCACACAAAGUCAAUCUUUCUAGGGUUUAGGGUUUAUUUUCAAGGUCAUUUUCUGGUUCGGACAUUAGCCUGAAAAAAAAGUACUGAGAUCGAAGAUUGUAGACGGAUUUCACCAAUUUCGAUUUGAAGCUGACUCUAACACUUCGAUCUCUCAUCCUAAUUCGUAUUGUGGCUAUUCAUCGUAUAAUCCGAUCUACAACGCCUCUGACCAAUAACCUAGAUGUCACGACCCCCGACCCACCCUGAACGGAAUCGGGAGCCGCGAACAGCCAAGUGGUACCGUAAUUCUUCAUUUUGAGAGAAUUGGUCGAACAUAGACGAAGUGCUCAUGUCCAAACUAUUUAUAGCUGAUUUCUGAGGUUGUCUCGGCCCGCGUGAACCACAGGACAAACCUUACGCGGCCCGAGUGGAAGUAUGGAUCAGAUCGGAGGUUGCUGAGUCACUGGUGGUCGCGACACGUGUGAUGACACAUGGCCUUCAUGCAUAUCCGGAGACCCACGAGCUGUCGCGGCCCGCGUGACCUUCUAGCUAUUCUUUACGCGGCCCGCGAGAAGACUAAAUAUCUGAUUUUCUUGAUUCUUGAUAUGGAUUGGGGUUUCAGGUGUCCGGGUUUUUACUUACGGAGCGUUUUAGGACAUUUUUGUGCGAGUGGUUACACUAGAACUCAUCGGCAUUUCUCUAUAUUCGGGCUUCUUUGUUGAUGUUGUAGCUUCGUUUGUUUGUUGGCAAUGGUCUCUUAGAGAUGAUGCUCGUGGGGUGAGGACUUCUUAAGGGCUGGUAAUUUUGGUAAUGGCGAUUCAAAAGGAGAUCUAGGGUUUCUCUUGGCGAAGCAAGAUCGGGCUUUCUCAAUGACACCAGAUCAAUGAAUCUCUUUCUAUACGACACCAAAUUGACUGAGUUUGAAGGUGGUGAAGGGUUCGAAUUCGAUUUUAGGGUUUUUAAGAUGCACAUCGCCAGAUCUAGGGUUACGAAAUCUUUUUUUCACCUCCUUUCUCUUCACCUCAUACCAUCACAGGGUUUUCACUUUGGGGAAAACUUUGCAACAUUUUGAGAUUCGGCUGAUUUUCUCUCAUCAGGUGGAUACCACUCUAGCAGAUGGUACAUGUGCUCGAACAGCUAUUUCUAGCGGCCUUUUAAAAGCCUGAAUGAUUAGAUAAGGUGAUUAACGCGCCUAUACAGUUGCUUUUUUUCUCCAGUGGCAAUACCUCAUUUGUCUCAAGAACUACUUUCUGACAGCUAAGAUACAUAUAAAAUCAUAGUUCUUAAAGCGAGCGCCCAGGCGCAAAUAAAGCCCCGGGCCCAACAAAUAGUGCGCCUCACGCCUUUAAUCUUCAAGUUAGUUCAUAAACUUCUGCAUGGACAGGAAUUUGUUAUGUGUAUUAAAAAAACAUAUGAAUGACGUUCCUGAGCUUGCUGAGAUGAAAAGGAGAGCAAACACAAGAAGUUUAAAGGAGAUGGCUUUGCUUUUGAGGAGUGGAUCUAAGCUAAUAUGGAUUGCAGCAAGUGGCGGCACGGACAUGCCCGAUCCAAUCACAAAUCAGUGGUCUCCGGCGCCAUUUGAUGCCUCUGCUGUGGACAACAUGAGAUCCGCUUCAGAACUGCUUCAGAUCUGGAAAUGGUUCGAUUACUCAAAGGUUUGAAUAGCGGUGUGGGCUUGGUUCAUUAUUAUAAGGAAGGCUUAGACCAGAUAUGAAUGGAGGGCAUCGUAACGGCGAUUUGGAAGGAAUAAUUUAUAUACAUUUUGUGGAAAAUGCGGACGAGUGGUUUCGGGUUUUUGAUUUAAAUUCCAACUUUUGGGUCGCUUUUCCGGCUACUGUUGUGGGUCCUAAAAGCUGCUUUGACAGGUUUAGUGGGUUACACCGUUACGGAGAUGCUUACCAAUUGGGGAGACCAUCUCUGGUUGCCAAACAACGGUGAGCAGUUGCGGUGGAUGAUGAUGAUGGUGUUACUUGAAGGUUGCUGGGUCGCUUACAGCAAAUGUGGUAAGUUCUGGUGACCUUUGAAUCAGUUAUAAUGCUAUAAUGCUGCCAUUUUGUAAGCAAUGCAGUUUUUUUCUUGCGGAUGCUAUUUUUGUUAGCGAGGAGCAGAUGUAAUAGAUGUUAUAGUCUCUUCUUUUGUAAUAGAUGUACAUUGUUAUUGACUUAUCCUUUUUUGAAAGAUGUACUAAAAUGUAUUUCGUGGUCGUUUACGUUUUCGUAUAUGUUGACUUUGG